rnacentral:lncRNA from 1 species
UUGAUAUUCAACUCUGUAAGUCCCUGUGCCGUCUACUUUUAUGUCAACCGAACACAAGCUUCUGAGAGGAGGAGUCUCAACUGAGAAAAUGCCUCUAUAAGAUCAGGCUGCAGACCGAGGGCCGGACCCCCGGCCAGGGACUGCUGCAAGCGCUCCUUCACAGCUACUAGUUUGAGCUCCAGGUCGAUCCUCUGCUCUUCUUUGGCACGGCAUUGAGCUUCCAGAGUGGCCACGGCCUCUUCCAAGGCCUUCGACUUUGCUCCUGAAUCCAGAGACACGGAUGAGAAAGUCUUCGGGGCUAUAGGCCCCCCCCCCCUCCCGCCCCUUGCUGGAGUGUCCAGAAGGACUGGGUGAAGGCUUGUACUGCAGCCACUAUGUCACCACAAAGAGAAAGAGAAUAAAGUCACAUUUCUCUGUA